rnacentral:rRNA from 1 species
GGGAUCCUACGGGGGGCAGCAGUGGGGAAUAUUGCACAAUGGGCGAAAGCCUGAUGCAGCAACGCCGCGUGAAGGAAGAAGGUCUUCGGAUCGUAAACUUCUGUCCUUGGGGAAGAUAAUGACGGUACCCUUGGAGGAAGCCCCGGCUAACUACGUGCCAGCAGCCGCGGUAAUACGUAGGGGGCAAGCGUUAUCCGGAAUUAUUGGGUUUAAAGGGUGCGCAGGCGGAAUGUCAAGUCAGCGGUAAAAUUUCGGGGCUCAACCCCGUCGUGCCGUUGAAACUGGCGUUCUUGAGUGAGCGAGAA